GGGAGGAAGCCAUUUUAAAUCUCUUGUAUGCCACUGAAAAAAAGGUGAAAGGGCUACUUCCUGUUUCAGAGAAAACAACAUGAGAAGGAAGGUGGGACGGUGCUGUUCAUGUGACUGAAAUAAAUGACAAAAGGUGUACUGGUCAAGCAAAUGAAACCAACCUUAGUGGAGACCAAAGGCAGACGCAUGCUUUCUAGGUGGCUGCCCUGUUGACUGAAGACAAAGUGCUGCUCCUUGUCUUUGGGAAUGACAAACUGGAGCUGGACCUCCUCCCCCAACAUGGACGAGCAGAAGGUGAAAGUGUGGAAGGUACACUCGGACAGCUGUGGCACACAGCACAGAUAGAUAUUUAGACAUGUCGGAUAUGUUUGAUAAGAAUUGCUGCUUGGGGUGCACUGACUGACCUGUGUGGCAGGGCUAGCGUCACAGUAGUGGUGACACUGCUCACAGUGAUGAAAGGCAUUGUGAGCGGCGUAUUGAGUGAGGCGUAUCGACUUGGUCUCCUGUUUGCCUUCCAUUUGACUCCUUUCUUCUUCUUUCUCCUUCUUUCUUUCUGAUAACAAAAAAAAUGUUUGAAUGCAUCGCAGAUGUGAUAAAGCACAGAGGUGAACUUUCUAUAGCACACACCUCUCACUUUCAGCUUUGGCAUCUUGUCAGAGUGGACUGGGCUAGCCUUCUUGAACUUGGAGUCUCGGGGGUUGGGGUCAAAGGGCAUGUUGCGGAUGUCUUCGAUGUCAGGCCACUGGGUACUUAUCGGUGUUGCGACCUCAUGUGUCUCUGCAGAGUUAAACAAUCUAAAAUCCACUCAAAACUCUGCAUCGAUGUGUCAGUGAUCUGUACCUUCACCUUCCUCCUCCUCUUCCUCCUCAUCACACACGUCCACCUCCAACAGUCUGAUGAGCAUCCGAAACAGGAUACGUAGAAACUGGAGUGUCAUAUUACCUGUGGGGGCCCACUGAGCAGUAGACGUCGAGGGUGCGGUACAGGUGGAGCUUCGUAAUCGGCGUGUUGCUGCCUGGCGACUGUCCACUGUCGGUAGUAGGUGCUCUGCUCUUCACUCUGCAGGCUCUGUGUGAUGGGGGGCCUCAGGGGGCUGCUCCACGCUACGUCGGCGUGGGGCAGUAGUGAGAAGGAGGACAGCUGGCUCCCUGAGUCGCCCGCUAACAAGUUAUAUGCUGCUCGUGACAUUAUGACGGUCCUUGGAGAAACACGGACAGGUUUUGGGUUGCGGCCGCAUUGUGUGGACUGGCUGGGCCGCUGGGUGGAGGAAGAGGACGGGGAUGGGGAUGAGGAGGAAGAGCUGGAGUAAAGGGACGCGGGUGCAUUGGAUGAUAUGGGAGGGUUGGACGAAAGCUGGCUUCCCAUGGAAUCACACUCCUGCUUGAAACUGGAUGUGUUGAUGCUCUCAGGUGGACAGGUAGACGUGGAGGGCUUAUGGAGGGAAUCUGCGGCAUCUGAUGAACUGACACCAUUCUCUACCAAAGAGCCUGAGAGAGUAAAAAGAAGGAAGUUGUAAGUAUCAACAUAUUUACAUCUUAAGACAAGGGCGGUGACCCACCAGAGGUCCUGGUUGCUGCGCUGCCAUUGCUCUGAGGUCGCUCCAGCUCAUCGCCAUCAUUCAUGCUGGUGGUGGCUUUAUCCCCAUCGGACUCCCGAGGGCCUGUCAUCUUUUUGGGCUCCUGGACCACCCCCAUGGAAACGUGGGUGCAGGCCAGGCCCACCUCCUGUUCUAGUGCCGUACGCGUCAAGUAGCUGGAGUCGAUUAGGCGAAGAUCGCUGUACUUCAAAGACCUAAAAAGGUGAAAGAUGUGACGUCAUAUGAAUCCAACACUUUGUGAACAUGUAGGGAUUACCUGGGGAAGGUCUCUCCAAGAGGGUCUUUCCCUGUCAGGAUGACGAUACAGGGUAGACCCUCCAGAUCUUCGUACGUUAGCGGCACCCAGUCUUCAUUGUCACAGCCGCGCCAUGCCUGCAGGACACAGCCCUUUAAUAACUACUGCAUCUUGGUGGUUGUUAUUAACAAAUCCACAGUGGUUCCUCACUCGCAAGCGAUUGGUGAAGUUCCUAGGGAGGUUUAGUUCGGAGGCGGGGCUUCCCAGCAGCACGGCAAAGCACAGCUGGAGACCCAGCUUGUCCCGCACGUCCUCCAGUCGCUCCCGGGCCAGCAUUGCCAGCUGCAGCGAGGGCACACGAACCAGCAGCAUGUGGCCCCGCCCUUGGGAGCCCUCCCUGCCCGGGGCAUUGAUCAGGUCCUCCACCAUGGCUAGUGUCUCCGGUGUGAUGUGAUCUCUCAGGGACGGUGAAGAGGUGAGCGCCAUCAUGGCUUCGGUGUACUGCUGGAUGAGCAGGUAGCUGCGGAUCACCAUGCUGUGGAGGUGUGGGUGUCUGGUGACACAAAUAAAAACUUCAUUUGUCACAUUAUCAUUAUGAAGUUGUCUUUGCGCUCUGUGGCUUCUCACCUUUGCAGCAAGGUGUGGACCAUCUUUUCGAAGGCAUCGUCACAGCGCAGGAUGGGGCUGGCCACGCCCCACUGGAGGGAUCUGCUAUAGUCCCCAAGGCCGAAGUAGACCAAUUCAUCACAAGGGGCCGCCCCCUGCUAGGAAGAUAAGCAUGCAACAAAACACAUUUGUUGAUACUAGUAGUACUCAGCACACAUUCUCCGUUACUACAUCAACAAUAGCCCAUUACUGUACUCCCCCAAGGAGCUUAUUAUGUUGUCAUUUGUAUACAAGGUUAGAUCAAACUUAAAUGAUGAAACAAAUUAUUUAACCUUAACUUAUCACAAGAAAGUAAGUGCAGUGUUUGUCCACGAGGUGGAGCAGUUGGACCACCGCGAUGAUUAGCCUACUGUGUGCAGACUAUUGUGAAAAUCAAUUCACCCUCACCAGGCUUUCAUUCAAGGGCCAGUGCACCUCGUUGUGCACGCUGAUGCGGGACUGGUGUGUCUGCAGCGUGUACGGGAAGCAGCUGACCUGCAGAACCAGCAGGUUCACUGCAUCCAGGACCUCCUGGCAGUUGACCACUCGGUCAGCCAGGCCCUGCAGCUCACCGUGGCAGACAGAGCCCGACAGAGCGCUAGAGGGGGGAAAAUAAAGACUGGAACGUGGUUUUUUGUCAAAAGCCAUUAAGUAUAGAAAAACUAGCAUUAUUGAAUUUGAAAAAUACAGUAUCCAAUACAGCACGAUUCCAUCCCAACAUGCAGAAAUAUCAAUUUUGAAAGGGCAGACUUGGAUUGGAUCUUAUCAGCUUGUUCAGUAAAUUUAGUGUGGAUGUACUGUCCCCUUCAAACCCUAGUCCAUAUUAGACCACUUGGCCUAGACUCUUCAAAUCUGGACUGGAUUAAUCUAUAAACCCUAAAGAUUCAGGAAAACAGAGUUUUUGAUUUUUGAAAACUUUAUUCUAUUUGUAAAAAUUCAAGAAAAGACAUAUGACCUCAACACGACCCCUCAGUAACUCAGUUGGUCAGUACCCUUUUUUGUAUAGCAGAGGCCGUCAUUGUGCAUAGGUGUACCAGAAGGCAUUGAGCAUAUAUGGCUGGCUAUUUACCAGAACAAUAUCAGGUUACAAUGGUGUGUCUUUGACGAAUGAGGGACUCUAGGUCACUCCGAAGAUGUGUGUAUAUGUGUCUCAGCACGGACAAAAGCCUAACACACAUAAUCUGAGUGGCCCAGAGCCCCCUCAAUCAGCAGAAGCGCCACCAUUAUAUCAUCAUAUUCUUCUACUUGUAUACGCUCAAUGCCUUCUCAUACACCUAUGCACAAUGACCGUCUCUGCUGUGCAAAAGGGUAGGAUACUGAGUUACUGAGGGGUCACAUUGAGGUUAUGUCCCUUUUCUUGCAUUUUCAUUGGCCAGGAGGAGGAGGAGCCUGCAAAAUAAAACUCAAAAUGACCUGACCAACUUUUAUGCCUACUUCUACGUCAUUCCAUUGUGUUUGUUCACCCUCUUCCUCCUCUUCCCCUUCGGUUUCAUCUUGAAAAAAUAGAACAAGGCCAACCAUGCAGCCAUAACAACUCAGAAGUGUGUCUCGUACCUUGUCAGGUCAACAUGCGAGUUAUCGUGGAUGAGGACAAACAGUGUGUAUGGGUUCUGUUUGACUUUCCUCAUGAAGGCCUCCAUCUUAACGUGCACAUCAGUGUCCAGUCGCACUACGUAUUUGUCGCAUUUCUGCUGAGCCAAGCCGGAUUCCUGCAUUCCUAAGUCCACGAGGACACCUGUUUGAAAAGGGAGGGAAUGACACAUUAUGUAUACCAAUGGUUCCCAAACUUUUUAAAGCCGCGUACCCCUUCAGACAUCUGACCUGAAGCCAUGUACUACUACUACACAUUUAAAAAACAAACUCUUUUAUUUUCAUUAACUUGACAUUUUGCGCAUAAAUAAUUAAUAAAACAUGCAUUCAUUUUAUAGUAAUGAAGUGCAUUUUGCAUGGUUGCAUUUUGAGAACGUUUCACAUGAGCACUGCUAAAUAGAUAAAGCAGUAGAUCCGAAGUACAGAAAUACAUACAAACAACAAUAAAGCCUAAUUUUCAGGGUGAUGCUGACUGUUUUUCACAUGUGUGCUGUGUGGGGAUAGGAACUAAUAUAAAUGAAAUCUUCACUUUUAAUGUACAAAGUAAUUAUCAAGCUUACUUAUUUGUUCAUAAGAUGCAAACACAGUAAUGACCAACUUCAUACUCCCUUCUGCUCCGUUCUCCUUGCACCGUGAGGCCUUCAGGCCCACUUUUAAUUGCAAGUGUUAUACGCUAAUUCUUUUUCAUUUUUAUUAACAUAUCCCCUACUACAAUAGGUGUACCCCACUUUGGGAACCUAGGACGUAUACAUUUCCUUCUAUGCCUUUGAAGUCUAUGUUUUGGUUGCAUACCUGAUUGUCGGAUGCGCUGUGCCGUCUGGUUUACUAGAAUGUGAGAGGGCGGGACUAAAACCAGAAAGUCCACUUUACAAAAGCGCCCCAAGUCAAGGUUCUGGCUGCCUGAGUCAGCAAUGGAGCAGACCUGAGAGAGGAGGCGGCGGGCCACGCUCAGUUGGGUCGGAAAGAUCUGGAAGACCUUACUGAGCAGCUCUGAUGCAAGAAACAAGGAAGAGAUCCAUCAUUGAUUGCAACACACGUCAGCAGCAUAGCAGACGAAUCAUAAAUGAAUGUCUAUUUUAGAGAGCAAGGUCGUGCAUUGGGUAUAAAUAUUGCCUCAUUCUAUGCUCAAAAGUCAAAAUGAAUCGUUUUUAAGUUCCUCACCUCUGUCUGCAGGUGGUGACAUGCUGGCAGACUCCUGCGAAUGGAUGUGGUCAGUGACAUCGCCCUGGAAGGGCUGGAUGACCUGGCCUUUCCGUCGCCGCUGAUACCGCACCAGCUGCUUGUCCAGAUUGUCCCCUGUGAAAACAAGCAGUCACCAUGGUGUGGAGGCCAAAGGCUUGAUGAAACUGCACUCUCGACUCAGGUCCUGAGUGCCGAAAAAGACAGAAGAGGCUGGCGUCGUUCUGUACACCACUGACCCUCCAUCUUGCCAGGAUACGGCUCCGGCUUCAGGUAGAGCUGUGUGAAGAUGGGCUGUGGAUCGCCGCUACUGGAGCGCAGAGACGCCUCGAUAGAAUUGUGGAGAGCCUCUUCGAAUCGAGUCGACUUCAGCUGCCCGGCAUAUGAGUUUCCCAUGAUCUGAGGAGUAAAACAUACAUUUCUAUAUUACACUAGAAAUGCAUGCUGAUAGAUUACCAGUUCCAUACCAAAUGGCGGAUGGCCAGUGAUGGCCCUUUAUGGACCAAUGACCAAUGAAAGUAAAAACACGGUCAUGGUUGCAGACUGAUCACAGCGGCAGUUUGCCUGCGUUAAUUACUCCUGUUAUUACGGUUAAUGUGACAGCAAACGCGGUGAAGUCACAAAAAAUUAGUUUGUUUACUUGCCGGGAAUGAUCCAUCCAUUUCCUAUGCCAUUAAUCUUCAAAUAGAACAAUAUAAAAUAGACUGGCUCUAAAGUGAGAAGUUAGUCUCGCAAACCAAAUAUUUAAAAGCGAAAGGACGGACAGAAAAACGGUCAUUCUUCUAGAACCAAAGCACUGCGUCUCGUGAUCUGAAAUCGUAUACAGUUCGUUUACAGUUAUACUGAAGGCUAUUGUGUUUAUUCCUUGUUUGUAAAAUGAAACUUUUUAUUAAUUAUGUGACAUUUCAUCCUGUUUUAUUUGAAACGCAAUUUAGGUUCCAAAAUAAGUGUGUUGUAGGGCAGUGACUCUUACUUAAUUUCUGCCUGCCAUUACUUCUGUCAGUGACACAUACAAGCAUAUUCAAAUUGUAUGCUGAGUACAACAAAUUAAGACAUGCUGGCUGGUUUUCACUAAUAUUGAAAGUCCUCCACACCUAAUGCUCCACUAUUUGAGAAGCACUUGUUUUAGGGUGCGCACGAUGGUCGAGUGGUUAGCAUGUAGGCCACACAGUCAGGAGAUUGGGAAGACGUGGAUCAAAUUCUCUGCUUGGGCAUCUGUGUGGAGUUUGCAUGUUCUCCCCGUGCAUGCGUGGGUUUUCUCCGGGGACUCCAGUUUCCUCCCACUUUCCAAAAACAUGCAUGUUAUGUUACUGCAUAAAACUGCAUAAACAGACUUUACUCAGUUUUAAUUGGAAGUGGUUUAGGAUAUCUUGGCUCUUUUUGCUCCUGUCAACUGUGUGCUGCACCCCCUCCCUCCCAAAAGAGGGUCAACUCUUGGACAUCUGUCAGGUCUCGUGUGUGGGCCUUUUUGGUGGCAUCCUCAACAUGUGUGCCACUAAAAAUACGUUUGAAAUUUCAAACCACCGUUAUUUGCAAAAAUUAGAGUACCUCAGGCAGAUGCUGCUUUUUUCCCCUUCCAUCUUUAAACUUUUGAUCACCUGCAAGCUAUAAUGACACUAUUUUCAUUUAAGCUCAAUUUAAGCUUCAUUGUUUUACUUAAUUAGAAAUAUAAACAUUAUAUAUUUGAAAUGAUGAUAAGAUUAAAAAAAAGAUGAAUUGGAGUUUGUUCAAAACUUUGGUAGGAUACGUUUUUUAAAAUUGAUUUGAGUAUUAAUGGAUUUCUAUAACAAAAUUUUUAAAUUAAAAAUCUAAUUCCAAAAAUAGUGAAAAUAAUCAUAUAAAAUGC